CUCAGGCAAAUUAUUAGACAUUUCCUUGAGGAGAGGGACUUAGCCUUAUUUAUUUCUGUAUCCUCAAUGUCAGCCGUACUGCUGGUUGGAGGGAUGGAUGCAUAAAUGCUUGUUUGGAUACCUGGGUGAAUGAGGAGCCAAGAGGAAGUAAAGAUCUGAACUCAGGGUUAGUGAGUCAGGACCUGGACCAAAAUGCCUCUAAGCCUUUGACAGAGUCAAGGAAAGGGGAGAGAUGUGAGAUGUGCUGAGGGUUGAAGAGAACGUUUAUAAAGUUCCUGCGGUACAUCCUCCCCAAAAGAUAACAGAGUUCAGAACUGUGGAUCAAGUGCCAAGUACUCCAUGUGCUGAGAAAGAAGAAGAGUAAGUCCUUAGAUUGAUAGAGUGUGGCUGGAUCCAGAUGAGC
rnacentral:lncRNA from 1 species